rnacentral:lncRNA from 1 species
CAUAGGAAGUAAAUUGGUUAGUUAAAUGGGCAAUUGUUUAUAUACCUCUGAAAAGUUCCUUUUCUUUACCCAUCUUAAAAGGCUAAUAUUAAAAUACCCUUUUAACAUUCCAAGUUAUUUCAAACAUACUCCUAAAGUUAAAUUCUACUAGUGAACUGUUAGGAAUAGUCGCUAUCUCUAUAAAAUUACUAUUUGGCCCUUCCAAAUAUAACUUUCACCUGACACCAAUUUUUCUUAUUUGCCCUUAUGUUAGAGGCAAAAGAAGUAUUUUGACUUUUGCCUUUUGCCUUUUCAAACAUACCUUUCCACCGUCACCAAAUUUUCUUAUUUGCCCUUAAGAGCCUCUUUGGUUCCUUGGAAACUACCCCAGAAAAUUUUUUUCAGACUGAAAUUUUUUUUUCAUGUGUUUGAUUCGUAGGAAAAAGAGAUUUUUUGGAAAAUUAUUUUCCACAUUUCAUGGAAAACUACCCUUUUCGUUUUCCAAAUUCUUUUUAGGAAAACAAAAACUUUUUUUUCUCACGAACAAUUUGAGUUAUAAAAAAAAAUCUCUUUUCUACUAUAUUAGUGUACGUUUACCACCUAACUCGUCAUUUCCACCAUCUCCCACUGGUAUCCCCAUCUCCCCAAACUAUAUAGAUAUAUAUAUAUACACACAUGGCAGAAACAUCUCCAUAUCUCCACCGUCUCCUUUUUUGUCAAACUAUUUUAUCUAUAACAAAAUAUAGUUAAAAUUUAUUUUUAUUUAAUUAUUUAUUAUUUAUAUUGUAAAAAGUUUGUGAGUAUUAUGUUAAAUUAUAAAAGGUUGGUAAU